UCCCUGGAGGACUUGUGGUUACGCCUCGUCGCUCUCACCGCUGUAGCUCGGGUUCGAUUCCCGGCUAGGCAG